UGGGGCGUGUCGUAUGUAGAUAUAUGAGCGCAGGGGCUGCUGGUCCGUCUUCUGGUGCUUAAAUACUAUAUGGUCUCCCGUGGCGUGGAGAGGACUUUUGCUUUGAAGUGCGUGUAUCCGCUGUGUGGAAGGUCCAGGAAGGUUCGGGGAUGCGGGGAGUGAAUUUCCCACCCCAGACGCUGCAGACUGGCCUGCAAAGGGGAAAGUGGAGUGUGUGUGUUUCCUGCUCGCCAGUCAUCUACAAGGCAACAGCUAAGACUUCCACUCACCUGCAGACCCACACAGCCCACCUCACUGCUCCACACAGAACCGCAAAGGGAACUUUGCCAGAACAAAUGCCACUCCAGCAGCUUUGCGAUUUGGGGUGAAUCGGGUCCUGGGACACUUCAGUAAAGGGUGGGAACACCAGAGUGAGACGCUGUGGUCACCCCAACCCAGAGACCACCCACUCCUCUCCCUUCCAAUCCCUUUCUCCCUUCUGGCUCAUCCUGUGUUCCCUCCUGAUCUUUGCCUUCCUCGGAUCUUUUCGCCAGCCUCACACCUUUGUUUCUUGUCCUACAAUGACAGCUGCGUCAUUGAGUCCUUUGUAACCACUGAAAGUUCCAAAUUAUAAGUAUCAGAGUGAUGCUUCUUAGCACCUCGAAGGGAAAACUUUAACUAGCUAUUCAGGUCCAUCACGGGCCUCAUCAGUGUUUUUCUCCCGAGCAGUAGAGGACACAAGUGUUUCCAUUCGCUCACGUCGUGAGAAAUCAUCUCAGUGGAGUAGAGUCUCGGCAGAACGAAGGGAACCCAGCCCCCCGCUUCGGACUCCCAACGGCUCAUCUCCCCUUCGUCCACGGAGCAGCCUGGCCGGGCGGCCCUGGGUCAGGGACCUGGGUCUCCUCAGACGCCGGAAUAUGCUACCCGCGCUCCUCUUUCGGUCUGAGCUUGGGACCAAAGCACAGGAUUCCAUGAGUGAAGGUUCGAAUCUUGACUGAACAGCGGCUUUGCAUGUCCAACGGAGACUUAAGAGUGAGAAACUCUGAAUAAAAUCAUAAUAAACUGAGACUGGGCA
rnacentral:lncRNA from 1 species